rnacentral:rRNA from 1 species
AGGACGAACGCUGGCGGCGCGCCUAAAACAUGCAAGUCGAACGAGAAGCCCGGGCUUGCCCGGGUGGACAGUGGCGAACGGGUGAGUAACACGUGAGUAACCUGCCCUAGGCUUUGGGAUAACCCUCGGAAACGGGGGCUAAUACCGGAUAUUCACUUCCUGCCGCAUGGUGGGUGGUGGAAAGUUUUUCGGUCUGGGAUGGGCUCGCGGCCUAUCAGCUUGUUGGUGGGGUGAUGGCCUACCAAGGCGACGACGGGUA